rnacentral:rRNA from 1 species
AGCGAACGCUGGCGGCAGGCCUAACACAUGCAAGACGAACGAAGUCUUCGGACUUAGUGGCGGACGGGUGAGUAACACGUGGGAACGUGCCUUUAGGUUCGGAAUAACUCAGGGAAACUUGUGCUAAUACCGAAUGUGCCCUUCGGGGGCAAGAUUUAUCGCCUUUAGAGCGGCCCGCGUCUGAUUAGCUAGUUGGUGAGGUAAAGGCUCACCAAGGCGACGAUCAGUAGCUGGUCUGAGAGGAUGAUCAGCCACAUUGGGACUGAGACACGGCCCAAACUCCUACGGGAGGCAGCAGUGGGGAAUCUUGCGCAAUGGGCGAAAGCCUGACGCAGCCAUGCCGCGUGAAUGAUGAAGGUCUUAGGAUUGUAAAAUUCUUUCACCGGGGACGAUAAUGACGGUACCCGGAGAAGAAGCCCCGGCUAACUUCGUGCCAGCCGCCGCAGUAA